rnacentral:lncRNA from 1 species
AGCCUCUGCCAGCAGAACCCCACUGGCUAGGCGUGAGCUGUCCUCUGAAAUGCCCAGAGGCUAAAAUGUUCUUUGGAGGAUCUCAUUUAGCUGAACUGCAAUGCUGUCUCCACCUCCCUACCUUGCUAGGAUUAUACAGGUGUGGGCCAUCACAUCUGGCUUCAAUGUUGACAGCCCUGGGUGGUGUCAAGGAUGCCAGGAACAGGAGAACCAGAAGAGGCUGUUGACAUGUUCAGGGGGGGAGCGAGAACUGGCUAACGCCUCAGACAGCAGCCUGUCUGACCACAGAGCCUAAGAUGCGGGAAAACAGAGAUUCCAUCAAAUGUGGCUUACAGCUGUAUCCGCAGGUCUCAAGACUGACACCCUGUGAAUACCAGCAAAAGAAACAGAUAUCUGGAUGCCACCACUCUUUGGCUCAGUGAAUGUCAAUGUCUCCCCGCUGUAGUCAAGGUAUUAAACCUAGGCUUCUUGCUCUGCCCUGGAAGGGAAGUGACUGUGUCACUCACAGAACAAGCAGGGAUACAUUUUGCAGGUCAAAGGGGAUGCUGCAAACGGGCAUCUUAGAACAACAAGAACACAACGGACUUUACUUUUUUAAACAGGGAGGCAUAGCUGCCACACUUGCCUGACCCCCCAGGGAACUGUAUCUGUCUUUCUCUCUGGCUUCCUUCGCAGACCCACUCCCUCUCUGAGCCAUCUGCAGUUUCGCCCUUCAACCCAGAGAAAUCCUUUGAGUAGCUGGAGCUAUCUUGUUAUUGCGCCCNNNCCCCAACCCACCCCCUUGCCCUCAGCUCUGUGUCUGAGACCCUUUCUUUGAUGCGGGCAGGGAGGAUCCAUUGAAUUCCCCCAGGCACCUGUCAGCUUCUGGGGAGGUGUUUCUGAGGGUAAACUGACUCUAUCUGGGGAGGUACAGGGAGCAAGGAAGGAAAGGCAAUGGACUGCACCUACCCCAGAAAUCAGAAUUACUUUCUCCUCAGUCCCCCAAUUGUUUCAGCUGAGAGGACUCUGGGGGUUGAGUCUGAAUGAAGAUUACAAACCACUUUCCCC